rnacentral:rRNA from 1 species
GACGUAGGUGGCGAACGUUAUCCGGAAUUAUUGGGCGUAAAGGGUGCGUAGGUGGCCUGACAAGUUAUCAGUGGCAAAUCGAGGCUCAACCUCGUGGAAACUGGUAAUACUGUUCGGCUUGAGUACAGGAGAGGUUAACGGAACUCAUAUGUGGAGCGGUAAAAUGCACAGAUAUAAUAGAAGAACAUCAAUAAAGGCGAAGGCAGUUAACUAUUCUGUUACUGACGCUGAGGCACGAAAGCGUGGGGGAGCAAAACGG